rnacentral:rRNA from 1 species
AGUGAACGCUGGCGGUAGGCCUAACACAUGCAAGUCGAACGGCAGCACAGUAAGAGCUUGCUCUUACGGGUGGCGAGUGGCGGACGGGUGAGGAAUACAUCGGAAUCUACUUUUUCGUGGGGGAUAACGUAGGGAAACUUACGCUAAUACCGCAUACGACCUACGGGUGAAAGCCGGGGAUCUUCGGACCUUGCGCGAUUGAAUGAGCCGAUGUCGGAUUAGCUAGUUGGCGGGGUAAAGGCCCACCAAGGCGACGAUCCGUAGCUGGUCUGAGAGGAUGGUCAGCCACACUAGAACUGAGACACGGUCCAGACUCCUACGGGAGGCAGCAGUGGGGAAUAUUGGCCAAUGGGCGCAAGCCUGAUCCAGCCAUACCGCGUGAGUGAAGAAGGCCUUCGGGUUGUAAAGCCCUUUUGUGGGGAAAGAAAAGCAGCAGGUUAAUACCCCGCUGUUCUGACGGUACCCAAAGAAUAAGCACCGGCUAACUUCGUG